GAGGAAGUCGGGGAUGGGGUGGGGUAGGGAGGAGUGGGUGAAGAGUGUGGAAGCGGGUAAGGGGGUCUAGGUCAAAGUCGCUCAAGUAGGGUGUAGGUUUUCUACAUUCUUUUCCUGGGAGUGGUGUUGAGGUGGAACAAGCAUUUUCUCCCUGGGUCACACAGCUAGAUGCUUCCAGAGUAGGCUUAACUGAGUAUGAAGCCGGCACUCCUCUUGCAAGGCCUAGGUUUCAUUCACAAACUGGCUAUUUCUCUUCAGGGCCAACUAACAUACUGCGUGCCUAUCAUUCGCUAGCCUGGCUCAUUCACUGUUGAUCUGGGUGUUCCCCAGAUAUCAAAACUUGGAAAGCCCGUGGGCGGCACUAUUUUCCUAGUAAUUUGUAGCUUUAAUAAGAAAUAACAAGAGAAGCACAUUGAACUGUGUUUACACGUAGAGGUAGCUCCCCCCUUGUGUUUUAUUUUAAGCUUUUAUACAAGACCACAAAAGGAGUUUGAAAAAAUUCUGUGUUUAUAAUCUGUGUUGACCAUCUCUGGGUAGAGUUAGGAAGAAAUGAAUUGCCUUUUCAGAUUUUAAUUACAAAGAUAAUGUUUGCUGGAUGCCUUCAGUUUUUUCCUUUUUGCUAUAUGGAAACUUUAAUCAUUAAAUGAUAGCAAACAUGUAAGCAGGUGUCUUGACUGGACUAAUUACAGUUGACCCUUGAACAACUCAGGGGUUAAGGGCACUGACUCCUGGGCAGUGGAGUAUAACUUUUGCCUCCCCCAAAACUUGUAAUAGCCUCCUGUUGACUGGAAGCCUUACCAGGAACAGGAACAGUCACCUAACGCAUAUUUUAAAGAGAACACAAGCGGGGAAGGGGCAGAGAAAGAGAGGGAGACAGAAUCUGAAGCAGGCUCCAGGCUCUGAGCUGUCAGCACAAGAUGUGGGGCUCAGACCCAAGAACAGUGAGAUCAGGACCUGAGCUGAAGUCGGCUGCUUAACCACCUGAGCCGCCCAGUGAGAGAGAGACAAAGCAUGAGCAGGAAGAGGAGCAGAGAGAGAGGGGGAGACACAGAAUCUGAACCAGGCUCCAGGCUCUGAGCUGUCAGCACAGAGCCUGACGCGGGACUCAAACUCACAAGCUGUGAGAUCAUGACCUGAGCCAAAGUUGGACGCCUAACCUACUGAGCUACCCAGGGACCCCAGAAGACUACGCUUCUUAACUGUUAUUUAGUAGCAGUUUUGAGGAAUGUUUAACUACCCAAGAGCAAUAAACAGUGUGAUCAACAAGUUUUUACUCUAUAACAAAUGAUGUAGCAGCAAUAUUUCUCUAGAUAUUUUCUAUAUGCCUAUUAUUAUAAGUUUAUAAGAUUUGAAAACUGAAAGGGCAAAGUGACCUCUGAUAAAAAUAGCAAAAUAACGUCGGAUUAAAUCAUCUUCCUUCAAAUCUAAUGAAAUGAACAGAAGUGGUGAAAAAAACAAGGCAACAAUUCAUGAACAAACAAAGGAGAACACCUUUGCCGUAUGAACUUCAGUGUAAACUUCAGAGUGACGGCUAAGGCAAGUGACGAGUUGUGCUGUGGCUCCUUUCUUCAUACCCACUCACCAGGAGCAGUACUGAGAACUCUGAGCGUUUUUAUUAAUGUCAUCCACUGUGGACGGAAGCAGCCUGAGGGAGUAAGUAGGUAGCCCUGGAUAAGUAAAGGGAAAUGUCUCAAGUGUAGUUGACCCAACUUCUCUCGAUGGGGCCUUGAGGUGGGUGGGGUGGGUGAGGUGGAGAGGGGGCAAGAAGGGCCUCCAUAGCUUCUGAUCCUUCAGGCCCCCGAGGGUGGGUAGGAUGAAUGAGAGGCUUAUCUCCACAGCUGGGUGGGGUGGGCACUGGUGCAAGAUGUUUAACUGGCCUCCAAAGGAGAAAUUAGAGGCUCCCCCCUACCUAUGGGUUUGACCUCACUCACAUGCCUCCCAACAUGCCCUCGGCUAAAGAUAAGUGUAUUGAAAGCAAUUCCAAUACAAUGAAUUAGCUUCCUAUGGGCAGACAGACUGGUCCUAAAUAAAGUGGAAGCAUUAUAUCAGACCAAAUAAAAGUCACAACAGAGCUAGGUAAUGAAAAUGAAAAACCAAAAAUGGCAUGGCGAUAAGUAAACACCUUAGAACAAGAAGAUGAAAGAGAAGGAAAAGAAAAAUGAGAAAAAAAAGGAAGAACAUGGUACAAAAAGACAUGCUUUAAGGGGGAGAAUGGCUUUUAACAUAAUAAAAGUACAGCUUUUUCAAAUAAGAUUCCCCGAGAGAGCUUUAAGGUACAGAAUUGCUUUAUGACCCUAUUAUUCUAUAAAACUAAGGCCUUAAAAUAAGAUAAUAAAAUAGCAGAAUGAACUCAACAGGGACAUUUCAGAGCUAAGAAAACUAGUUGCAACUCCAAAGAGCACCAUGAUAGAUCUAAAAAAUUAUUUAGGAAGAACAAGGAACAAGAGAGACAGUGGUUGAAAAUAAAAUUAGUGGAAUGGAAGAAAUGCAUGACAUAAUCAGUGAAUGCAGAGAAAAGGGACAAAGAAAUUAAAAUACGUAGAAGGCAGUCAGUAUGGAGGACAGAGACCAGCCAACAGAGACAACAAAAUGGAACAGGAAAGGUAGUUAGAUAUGUGAUAAAAGAAACUUUCCCUGGAAUUAACAAAUGAAAUCUUAAACUAGAAGGUCACUCUGUAUGCUAGAAAAAAUUGAUACAGCACAAUAAACAUGCAGACACCCUUUGGUUAAGUUACUGAAAUUAAAGGAUAAGAAAAGAAAUCUUUAGCUAUUCAGAAAGAAAAAGUAAGUCACCUAUAAGGAGGAAAAUGAGGAUUGCCUUAGACUUCUCAGCAAUAUUCAAAGCCAGAACAUGAUGGAAUAAUAUUUACAAACUUCUGAGGACAAGAAAGUGGGACCCACUCAAAAACUGGUUAUAAAGUAAGCAAGCAGGCUGUCUCAAACAUGGAAAAAUACACAGAAAGUAGUGUUUAGAAUCUGGUAUGAAAGAUACAGAAUUUGAGAGACUUUCUUGGGAAAACAAAACAAAAAACACAAUACAUUUGACAUUGAAAUUCUGCCAAAGAAAUGAAGAUCAAGAAUUUAGGACUGGUAAAAGAAUCAGAAAUGGACACUGGACCCAUUUUUAAAAAGAACGAAGACGAAAUAAUGAGGAGUAUUGCAGUUACAGCACACAAUGUGAUGGUUUAUAACCUGGCCAAGUAAAAAUAUAAGCAAUGAACAAUAGAACAGGGAAAAGUGUAGGUGGGAGGACUAACCAAAGUGUAUCACUUCAUCUUUCAGAGCACAGUCAAUUCAUGCUGUCUCAAAUUAAACCACAUAGUUUAAAAACAAACAAACAAACAACGAAACAGCAGCAGCAUUUCCAAAACUUUGAUUUUUAUAAUCUCUGUGCUUAACCUAAGAGCCAGCAAGGCAAGGCAGCCUAUGUGUGCCAGAUUCACCUGCAGCUAUGUUUUGGUUUUGUAAGGUCAGUUCAGCAUUUUUAACUAUUUUAAAAUAUGAAUGUUUUUAGGUGGGGGGGUGAACUUGCCAGUUAACCCCAAUUUCCAUCGUAUUUCACCCUUUUAGGGAUCUGCCUGGCUUUGCCUGUGGGGGACUCUUUAGGAACUAAAAUCUCUUGUGAAGAAUUAUGUGUCUGAACUUCAAUCAUUCCUAGUGUAAGAUGAAAUAGUAAUUGAUCAAUAGAUAUAUUCCUCUCAUUUGUUUUGUAAAACAAGGUAUUUUUCUGUUGCACAACAAAUGACAUUUUCCCAUAUGUUAGAAUGACAUAAAUCUGUCUCUUGGCAAAUCACUGUUUCCUUAACUUGGCUGCCACCAGGCCUUGACUCCAGUGGCAAUCAGAAGUGAUACAGAGUAACUUUCCUGAAAGAUCCCUUUUACCACAUAGGAACACUCCUGGGAAGCUUCUCCUUAGGUGGUGUCUUUCUUAUGCUAUUUAAAGCCUUAGGGCUUAGCUGUUGUCACCUGCCAGCUAUUUCUUUGGGUCAGUUUUAACUUUCAGCCCUUUAAAUAGAGUACGGAUUGGGACUGAAAAGGAGCCAGAAGGAACAGCUGAUUGGCUGUGAAGGCCCGGUGGGGAGGAUCUGACACCCGCCUUAGAGGCUGAGCUGGUCAUUCUAAGAAAAACUACGUGGGUGGCCCCAGGGGCUACUCUGAUGGCUUUAGAACUGGCAUCUGAUGGGCACUGGAAGGACUAGCCCUCCAGCAGGAGACUAGCGACCGGGCACUGCAAAAAGAACUGCACAAUUCUUAAGUUAGUAUUUCUUUUCUUUCCUUUUUUUUUAUGUUUAUUUAUUUUUGAGAAAGAGAUAGAGUGCAAGCAGGGGAGGGGCAGAGAGAGAGGGAGACACACAGAAUCCAAAGCAGGCUCCAGGCCAGAAACUGUCAGCACAGAGCCUGACGCGGGGUUCACACUCACGAACUGAGUGAUCAUGACCUGAGCCGAAGUCGGACACUCCACCGACUGAGCCACCCAGGUGCCCCAUAAGGUAGUAUUUCCACAUCCAGGUACUUCAUCAGAUCUUCAGCCAUUUGCGAUGGCAAAAGACACUACCUUAGAAAGGCGAAACUAGCCUUUUAUUUAAAUUAAAUACUGCACUAAUCAAGAGAGAGAUGCCUCUCUUAGGUUUCUAAUUUAUAAAUAUUUCCAUAUUUGGAAGGUGUUCCGUAGGAGAGAAUAAAGGCUGAACCGUUUAAUGGUAGCAGUGAGAAUGGGGGAGGUGGUUUCAUACUGACCUGCUCCCCCACCCUAUUCUCAUGGCUGCCAUCACACAGGCCACAGGAAAGGAAGACUCAGAGUUUGUUUCCUGACUGGAUGUGGGAACAGAGAAGGAAUCAAGCUCCGUAACUUGAACAACAGAUGUUGCCCUCAUUUAGCGAAAGGAAUGUGCUUACAACGCAGCAGACCCUCAAUGUCGUUGAACGUGUGAAUACUGCUGGAUUUUUCCGACACCGAUAUCUGCCUCUUAGACUUUUCCCUGUAGGCUCGGCUGCCUGAAUGGACCUUUAUCUGCAGGCCACCAACUAGACUUGACGUUCUUCUAGACUUACUUCAUUCCACUUGAAUUUCCACCCCCGUAAUUGGCUUUCCUGGAAGAGCAACUCACUUUUCACUUCUGUACUCUACCUAGAUUAACAUCUAAGGCUUUACCUGGACCAUGACUUAAGGGAGAAGUUCGCUGGGUGGAGAAAGAGAAGGGGAAGCAGAUAGGAAGCAAGACAAUGGGAGCAAGCAUAUCAGCCACAAAACACACUGAAAUGAGAGUUAGUUUAUCCAGUUGUGAUUCCACUACGGUCCAUCACUGCCAGAGCUGAGUAGGACUCUGAAAUGAGGACUCAUGGAAACAGUACAGAUUGGAUCGAAAGCAGCAAAAAACCCGAUGAUGGUGUUUCAGGCAAGGAAAGUGGAUAAGCAACUGAGGGAAUGUAAAAGUUGCUAAAGGCAGCAUUUCGAGACAAUGGAGAUGCUCACACCUUGGACCUGUGUGUCUAGGUUCAGGGACAGAAGUUUAUCGAAUGUGUCUUUAGCUCAGCAACAUAGAACAAGGGCUGAUUUCUAUCGUUUACCCCUCACUGGACUUCACUUGAACUUACAGCGCUCCCCAGUGAUGCUACAGAUAUUAAACUGAUGGUUCCUGCUUCCUUCCUCUGAUUUCUUUUAUCCCCACACAAUAUUUAAUUUUUAUGGGGAUUGGCCAUCUUAGCAGCUUAUGAAAUGAGAGAUGGCUUUGACCAGAAGGUGUAAACAAGGCUUACUGUUUGAAGCUUCGCUAUUUGUAUUUGAGUUAUUUUCCUGGUCACAGACACAGACUUGCAGUGAUUUGUCAUUCAUUCAUUGCCCUGAGCUCCCAGCCCCUCGAAGGAAUGUAAUCCAAAUUUCCUCAAGCUGCUGACUUUCCACAGAUAGGGGGACUCAAGUGCCCCUGCUCAGGCCACUAGCUGUGUAAUGAAUGACUUCCGUUUUCGCUCAGACUUCCACCAAGCUAUUGCUAGGAGCCUCUGGGGCUGCCAUAUGAGAUCAUGAGCGCUGUUUCCACUUUGGACUGUCUUGUCAGCACCUGGGAUUUGAGGGCAGACCUCAUUGCUUCCAUUAUACAGCGUCCGAUGCACCCCAGAUCGUAAACCCUGUGGCGCCUGUGGCCCCUGGCCCAUCUGCAUUUCUUUCUGCACCUAAACCUAAACCACCCACGAUCUACACAGAGGUGAAGCUAUGCGUGAUGUGAUGGCACAGGCCCUUCUCCCCCGCAGGGGUCUCUGAGCCUCCCGGGGUCCCUCCUGCAUAUGGCAUCUUGACUCUUAUCUGCAGCCUUCUCCCGAUGCUUCAGAUAUGAGCCCACAGGGUUGGCUGUGGUCAGUAUCAGACGUGGACUCUCCAGCAGCCCAUACGACAUGCCCAGACCACCGUGAAUCCCGUGAGUGGGUGCAAAUUAGUGCGAAAUUUGGACCCCAGCCUCUCAUGUAAUUUUCAGAUGAUUUUCAGACAGAUCCAGCUCAAGGCUUAAAGUGAAGUGAUGUUUACAUUCAGUGGAAUGCACUGCUUUUGGCUCUCUAUCCUGGCUACCAGAAGGGCUGUCCCUGACCCAAAGCGUCUGUGCCUCUGGGAGCUUGUUAGAAAUGCCCAGUCUCAGGCUCCAGCCCAGACCUACUAAAUGCAAACCUGCCUUUUAACCAGAUCUCCAGGUGAUUUACAUGCACACUGAAGUCUGAGAAGCACUGCUGUAUAUCAUAACUGACAGAUCAGACCGUACUUAGGAAAUGGUGCUAAAGUGAUUUUCCAGAUCUGGGGAGCCCCGCAGCAUAGAACAUUGCAAGUAAAUCCAGUGAUUGCUUGCUAUUAAAUACCUAUAGAACGUUUUCUCUGUCUUUACGUACUCUUUCAUUUGAAUUCAGAUUUUAUUUUGGGAUUUUUGAUAUUCAUGUUAGUCAAUAAUGGAGUUUGAUAUUGUGUAUUAACUUGAAUUCUCCCUCCCUUCCAUUCUUCUUGGGUUAAGAACUCUGAUAAUAGAAGGGAACUAUAGACCUGACAUUCAAGGAAAAUCCAGAAAAUGAAUUCUUUUUUAUCUUCAGGCAGAGCAGCUCCAAUGAAUAGAGAAGUGUAAUAAAGCCUUUUUAUAUGCCUGUCAUAGAAAGACAAACCUUUUCCAAAGGAAAUGGAUUUGAGUAUUUGCGAGGUAUGAUAAACAGCCUGACAAAAACGAGCCUGAAUUUCCCUUUUAAAUGUUCAGCAGGGGGAGGUUUUAACUUCUCCUGUCAGGUAAAAAAAGAAUUCAUUAUGAAAGCCAUUCUAGCUGAAACUCAAAAAUGAAAACGAGGCCCGAUCAGAGUGGAAAGCAAUGAUUUAGAAAUGUGUUAAAGGGAGUAGUUUAAUGAAUAAAGUGUCAACUUUCCAUAGGAGCAAAAAUAAAUCACGCAAAGGCUUAACCAGUUUUGUCGCUGUGAAUUAGCUGGGCGUAGUUGGGACCAGCACACCCUGUAAGGAAACAUUAAAAUCUAAUUCUCGCUGAGAUUUGUGUACGUGCAUUGUUGAUAAUAAUGUUAAUAAUGGCAUUGUAUGCAUUUUACGACUUCUCUUUCCAGCAAUUGCCAAAAGCCGGAAGAAAAUGAGGCGCAGUUGAACGAAAAUGGCCCCAAUUCUCAGUUUUUCCACUCAGCGGAAAGCCUUGAGGCCUUGAAUCCACCCGUCCAGGAAUGACCUGAUGUCCCGCUGCAGAAUAGUCUAGACGCUGGGUGUUGCUGUCCUUGGUCUUGGUUCCCAGGUAUCUUCCUUUCCUAUGGCUGCCCUAUCAGAGUACCGCAGACCAGGUGCCUUCAGCAGAACUUCAUCGUCUCACGGUUCCGGAAGCCGGAAGUCCGCGUCAAAUUGUGGGCAGGGUGGUUUCCUGCGGGGGUCUGGGUGGGAGAACAGGUGCCAGCUUCUGGUGGUUUGCUGCCAAUCCUUGGCUUUAGAUGCACCUCACUGAUCUCUGUUUUCAUCUUCAUGUGAUGUUCUCCCUGUGUACAGGUCUGUAUCCAAAUUCCCACUCCCCCCACUUUUUAAAGUUUAUUUAUUUACUUGAGAGAGAGAAAGAGAGGGAGAGAGAGAGAGCAUGAGCUUGGAAGGGACAGAGAGAGGGGGAGAGAGAAUCCCAAGCAGGCUCAGUGCAGCUCCAUUCCACCAAUGGUGAGGUCAUGACCUGAGCCAAAAUCAAGAGUCAGACGCUUAACCGACUGAGCCACCCAGGUGCCCCCUGAAUUCCCCCUUUGUUAGUCAUACUAAAUUAGGGCCCACCCGGAUGAUCUUCUCUUAACGAAUUACAUUUUCAAAGAUUCUGUUUCUAAAUAAGGUCACCUUCUGAGUUACUGGGGAUUAAAACUCCAGUGUAUCUUUUUCUGAGACACACAAUUCAUGCAACUCACCAGGUGGGACUGCUUUGUAACAAGGUUGUUUGAUUUGUUAAUAACUAAACUCACAAGUUUGUAGCACAAUCCCUGGGCGAGUGAUCAGAGUGCAGCAAAUCACCAUGGAAUAAAUAAAGUAAUUCCUAACCUAGUCAUACAUACUUAUGAAGCACCGUUAGGUAUCUUUGAGGCAUGGGUUGUGUAAUACUUAUUUUAUUAGUAAGGAAAUGGAUACAAUAAGAGGUUAACAGAGUAUGCUUCUCACAUUCUAUAGCUAUAUGGUUUAUUUUCUUAUUAUUCUUUGUCGAACUAAAAAUGAGGGCAAGGAUCUUGGGUAGUUGCUUAAUACAAUGUUGACCAACUGAGCUUGGUACUUGUGAGAUGGUCAGAUUCACGUAAUUAGUGCUAGCUCUUAAGUACAGUGUGAAGCAACAGCACAGAGUGAAAGUACAAAUUUGUGAGAACGAGAAGACUGGAGCUUUAAUGGAGAACUCAUCGGAUCUAAGAUGCUACUGACAGCUGUGUUCCCUGUGGGAGAAAUUGCUUACCUGGAUGCCUCACUCUGGACACUGGAGUCUCCACUAUGCAUGGCCCGUGUUCUCCUUGGUCAGUCGUCACAGCUGGUUUGUGGUGAUGCUCCUCAGAUGUCUUCCUCCCUGGGCUCUCCAGCUGGGCGUCCUCAGAGAGAAAGACGGCGGAGCCCGUACCUGGCAAGAUGCACUUGCAGUCCCCUGCUAAUAAGUGUUUUUAUAUUGUGAAUACUGCUUUGCCUGGAUUCUAUUGUGCUGUGGGUAAAAGGAAAUGUCUGAGCAGUUGCUGAAGCCUCCAGUGGUUGGGUUUCCAUGGCAGCUCUCAGAGGGUUGAAUCCCUCCCCAGAAAAGAGUAGUUGAGUUUUCAUUUACAAAGGACAAAAAGGUCUUUACUGUGAUUUUGCUUUGGAAACUUCGGAUAAAUCUCCCUAGCCUUCCAGGUGCCACAUGGAGCUGGGAGGAGGGUCGUUGACUUCUGUAACAGUACAACACCCUAGACACAGGAUGGUGGUGAUAUGCAGCAACAAAAGAAUGCUGGCUCUUAAUCAAAAAGGGAAAAAAUUAUCAAAUUGACCUACUAGGCAUUCAUCAAGCACCUACUGAUAAUUCCACCUGCCAGAGAUGGCAAAUUUCCACUCUUUCAGGGUUCUGGGUUGAAUGUCAAGACUGCUUGUCUACUUAAUAGGAAAAUGAACUGCGGCAUUCUUUGAGCUGCUAAGCAAAGAUAUGGGUCUAAUCAACCACCACGUUAAACAUUUCAAGAAUCACAGCUUCUAUAAGGAAAUAGAGGUAAUGAUUAUCCAACAUGCUUUGUAAGAACAGCCCAACCCGUGGAAAGUUACCAUAAUGCAACUGAAAGAAUGGGAAACAAUUUUGCCCUAAAAUCUUGGAAAAUGUGAUUCCACUUGACCCAGAAAGAUGUCCAAAAUUUCUUUCCGUUCACUAAUUUUUUCUUCUGAUGUGUCCAAUAUGCAGUCAAAUACAACUAAUGAGUUAUUAUA